UAGCUAGUUGGUGAGGUAAAGGCUUACCAAGGCGACGAUCUGUAGCGGGUCUGAGAGGAUGAUCCGCCACACUGGAACUGAGACACGGUCCAGACUCCUACGGGAGGCAGCAGUGGGGAAUUUUGGACAAUGGGGGCAACCCUGAUCCAGCCAUGCCGCGUGAGUGAAGAAGGCCUUCGGGUUGUAAAGCUCUUUCGGCCGGGAAGAAAUCGCAUGGGCCAAUACCCUGUGUGGAUGACGGUACCGGAAUAAGAAGCACCGGCUAACUACGUGCCAGCAGCCGCGGUAAUACGUAGGGUGCGAGCGUUAAUCGGAAUUACUGGGCGUAAAGCGUGCGCAGGCGGUUUUGUAAGACAGGCGUGAAAUCCCCGGGCUUAACCUGGGAACUGCGUUAGUGACUGCAAGGCUAGAGUACGGCAGAGGGGGGUGGAAUUCCACGUGUAGCAGUGAAAUGCGUAGAGAUGUGGAGGAACACCAAUGGCGAAGGCAGCCCCCUGGGUCGAUACUGACGCUCAUGCACGAAAGCGUGGGUAGCAAACAGGAUUAGAUACCCUGGUAGUCCACGCCCUAAACUAUGUCAACUAGGUGUUGGGUGGGUAAAACCAUUUAGUACCGUAGCUAACGCGUGAAGUUGACCGCCUGGGGAGUACGGCCGCAAGGUUAAAACUCAAAGGAAUUGACGGGGACCCGCACAAGCGGUGGAUGAUGUGGAUUAAUUCGAUGCAACGCGAAAAACCUUACCUACCCUUGACAUGCCAGGAACUUGCCAGAGAUGGCUUGGUGCCCGAAAGGGAGCCUGGACACAGGUGCUGCAUGGCUGUCGUCAGCUCGUGUCGUGAGAUGUUGGGUUAAGUCCCGCAACGAGCGCAACCCUUGUCGUUAAUUGCCAUCAUUUAGUUGGGCACUUUAACGAGACUGCCGGUGACAAACCGGAGGAAGGUGGGGAUGACGUCAAGUCCUCAUGGCCCUUAUGGGUAGGGCUUCACACGUCAUACAAUGGUCGGUACAAAGGGAUGCCAAGCCGCGAGGCGGAGCCAAUCCCAGAAAGCCGAUCGUAGUCCGGAUUGCAGGCUGCAACUCGCCUGCAUGAAGUCGGAAUCGCUAGUAAUCGUGGAUCAGCAUGUCACGGUGAAUACGUUCCCGGGUCUUGUACACACCGCCCGUCACACCAUGGGAGCGGGUUCCGCCAGAAGUAGGUAGCCUAACCGCAAGGGGGGCGCUUACCACGGCGGGGUUCGUGACUGGGGUGAAGUCAUAACAAGGUAGCCGUAGGGGAACCUGCGGCUG
rnacentral:rRNA from 1 species